GGCGCCUUAGCUCAGUUGGUUAGAGCAGCGGAAUCAUAAUCCGAAGGUCCCCUGUUCGAGUCAGGGAGGCGCCACCA
rnacentral:tRNA from 1 species